rnacentral:rRNA from 1 species
AACGUAGGACACGAGCGUUAUCCGGAGUUACUGGGCGUAAAGGGCGGGUAGGUGGUGCGAUAAGACUGGUGUGAAAGCCUUCGGCUUAACCGAGGGAGGACACUGGUGACUGUCGGACUUGAGGCAGAUAGAGGGGUGUAGAAUUCCGGGUGUAGUGGUGAAAUGCGUAGAUAUCAGGAGGAAUACCGAUGGCGAAGGCAGGUCUCUGGGCUGACACUGACGCUCAUGCACGAAAGCGUGGGGAGCAAACAGG